rnacentral:rRNA from 1 species
GACGUAGGGUGCAAGCGUUGUUCGGAAUUACUGGGCGUAAAGGGCGCGUAGGCGGCCUUCUAAGUCGGACGUGAAAUCCCUCGGCUUAACCGAGGAACUGCGUCCGAUACUGAAAGGCUUGAAUCCGGGAGAGGGAUGUGGAAUUCCAGGUGUAGCGGUGAAAUGCGUAGAUAUCUGGAGGAACACCGGUGGCGAAGGCGGCAUCCUGGACCGGUAUUGACGCUGAGGCGCGAAAGCUAGGGGAGCAAACGGG